AGGGCCGGGCGGGCAGCCGCCCCUUCGGGGGAGGAAAGUCCGGGCACCACAGGGCAGGGCGCCGGGUAGCACCCGGUUCCGGCAACGGAAAGAAAGCGCCACAGAAACGAAACCGCCGCCAUGCGGCAAGGGUGAAAAGGUGGGGUAAGAGCCCACCGGGACCGGGGCAAUCCGGUUCGCAAGGCAAGCCUCGCCCGGUGCAAGGCCUAAUAGGGAGGGAGUCCCCGCGGACUGGGAGUCGCCCGCUCCCCGAACCUCCGGGUCGGCCGCUGGAGGCUCCGGGCAACCGGAGUCCUAGAUGGAUGGCUGCCGCCUUUCGAGGCACAGAACCCGGCUUACAGCCCGACCCUGCCC
rnacentral:RNase_P_RNA from 4 species